CCCCGCCUGGAUUCUUUCGAGAUGGUGUUGGCGAAAUCCGUCGGAGGCUGAUUGUCUGAUCGCUCCAUGCCGACGGCCGUUGUCGGAGGAGGAGGAGCUUGGGAAACUGGAGGUGAGGUCAGAGCCUGAGAUCUAGCCACGGAGGCCGUGGGUCGCCAUGUGGAUGCUUCGCAAGAAAGCAUCGGGCGAAGAUCUAGUAG
rnacentral:lncRNA from 1 species